rnacentral:rRNA from 1 species
GACGAACGCUGGCGGCGUGCUUAACACAUGCAAGUCGAACGGAGAACUUAGCAAUAAGUUCUUAGUGGCGAACGGGUGAGUAACGCGUAGACAACCUGCCUUCUAGAUGGGGACAACGUUCCGAAAGGGACGCUAAUACCGAAUGUCCUAUUGAAUCUGCAUGGAUUUGAUAGCAAAGGUGGCCUCUAUUUAUAAGCUACCGCUAGAAGAUGGGGUCUGCGUCUGAUUAGCUAGUUGGUGAGGUAAUGGCUCACCAAGGCGACGAUCAGUAGCCGGUCUGAGAGGAUGAACGGCCACACUGGGACUGAGACACGGCCCAGACUCCUACGGGAGGCAG